ACAGCGGGCACUCGAAUCGUCCCGGGAAAUGCACGUGAUAGUGGUUCCGGAUGUGCGUCACUAUUUUGCCGCACAGUUUACACCUGUGCAGGUUACAUCCGCCUGGCAGCUUGUCGAACGCUGGGGAUGAUUAAUAAUUAAAAAUACGCAUAGCUGGAGUUGAAUUAGACUCAGUGAACAGGAGAGAAAGAAACACAACCAAAGAGAAGAAGAAAACGAAUGCGGCACUCACCGUCGAUUGUGUCCGUCGGAUCGAGGGGCGGCAUCGGCGGUUUCGUCUCUUCGUUGUGGUCCAGCCCGUGGCUGGAGAGCAGGUCGUCCUGGUGCACGCUUAAGCUUCCACCCUGCAACGCAAUCAAAAUAAUCACACUAGUUAUACAAAUAUCUCCAAAUUAAUGAUAAAAAUUUAUUAAACGUAAUAACUAAUUAUUAGCUGCGGUUGGAAUACACAUUUGUCAUCAUUGUAACAAUUACGUAGAGUUUUUAACAUAUUCAAUGUAUCAUAGCGUUAUUUUUAUAUAAAAAUAGGUGAAAAAUAGUCUUAAGUCUAGGAUUCAAGCACUAGCCUUUCACUGUUUCCACAUCGUCUUAUUAGAAUGUCUUUUUUAGUAGAUUAUCAAUUAAUUGUGCUGGUUUUGUAAAAAUUAUUACUAUAUACAUACUAAAUGCAAAUAUUUGAAGUUUUUUCAAAGAAAACUGAAGAAUUCAUAGCAUAAUCAUAAUACAAUCAUGACAUGCAAGUAAAUUUUGAGGUUAGAAUUGUACUUUUGUACUAAACUAACCUAAAAAUGAAAAUACUCCAAAUAUUUCCAACAGUAAUAACAAUAGUAAAGAUCUUACAUACAAAUAUAUGAUUUUACACGUU